CUGUCCCUAAAUGUAUUAGCCGGCUCUAAUGGAAGACUAGGUUCUUACUCGGUGUGAUAAUUAUCUUACGCUGAGGACAUUUCUCUUGUAAAAGGGAGAGAUGGCCAAGACUACUUUUAGGCUGCUUCUAAUCGUCUCUUCUGACAAACAAAUUAUUCAAAUCUGACCUCGAAUCAGGUGGGACUACCCGCUGAACUUAA
rnacentral:misc_RNA from 1 species